rnacentral:rRNA from 1 species
UACGAAGGGGGCGAGCGUUGUUCGGAUUUACUGGGCGUAAAGGGCGCGUAGGCGGCCCUCUUUGUCGCGUGUGAAAGCCCCGGGCUCAACCUGGGAAUUGCGCGCGAAACGGGGGGGCUUGAGUUCGGGAGAGGAGCGUGGAAUUCCCAGUGUAGAGGUGAAAUUCGUAGAUAUUCGCAAGAACACCAGUGGCGAAGGCGGCUCACUGGCCCGGAACUGACGCUGAGACGCGAAAGCGUGGGGAGCAAACAG